rnacentral:rRNA from 1 species
GAUGAACGCUAGCUACAGGCUUAACACAUGCAAGUCGAGGGGUAACAAGAGAAAAGCUUGCUUUUCUUGUUGACGACCGGCGCACGGGUGAGUAACGCGUAUCCAACCUGCCUAUAACUAGGGAAUAACCUUGCGAAAGUAAGACUAAUACCCUAUGAUUUCCUUUGAUGACAUCAGAUUAGGAAUAAAGAUUUAUCGGUUAUAGAUGGGGAUGCGUCUGAUUAGUUUGUUGGCGGGGUAACGGCCCACCAAGGCAACGAUCAGUAGGGGUGCUGAGAGGAAGGUCCCCCACAUUGGAACUGAGACACGGUCCAAACUCCUACGGGAGGCAGCAGAGAGGAAUAUUGGUCAAUGGGCGGAAGCCUGAACCAGCCAAGUAGCGUGCAGGAUGACGGCCCUAUGGGUUGUAAACUGCUUUUAUACAGGAAUAAAGUUAGCCACGUGUGGUUAUUUGUAGGUACUGUAUGAAUAAGGACCGGCUAAUUCCGUGCCAGCAGCCGCCGUAA